CGUGAAAUUCGAUAUAAUUUGAAUUUUGUUGAUUAUUAAUUUUUAAAGUUUUUUUAUUUUUAAAAAAAGUAUAUUAUUAUUUAGUUUUAAGUAUAAAAAUUUAUUUUUAAUUAUAGUUUAUUUGUAUUGAAAAAGAUUUUUAAAAAUAAUAAAAAUAAGAAUUUAUUUUUCGUACCUUGUGUAUCAGGGCUUAUUAAAAUUAGAUAAGAAUUUAUUUUUCUCGAAUUAUGGAGAGCUAAAUAUUUUAAAAUUUUACUGUUACAUAAUUAUUUUAAAAAAAUAUUUAGAAAUGAAACGUUAGUCGUUCCUUAAUAUAUCUAGUUUUUAAAGAAAAAAAUUUAAUUUUAAUGAUUUUUAGAAAUUAAUUAAUUUGUUAAUUAAUUUUUUGAUUCGUUUAAUAUUUAGGGGGAUAAGCUUUUAAAUAAAUUUUUAUAAAAAAAUAUUUAAUGUUUAAUUUGUAGGAUUAGAAGUUUCUAUUUAUAAUAAAAUGUUAUAAUUUAUUUUAUUGUUUAUUAAAAUUUUGUUUUUUUUAAUUUUUCUAUUUAAAUGUAAAAUUAAAUAAAUUUGUUUUAUUAAUAAUGAUAAGAUUAGUAUAUUAGUUUGUAUAUAUAUAUAUAUAAGAGUUAGGUUUGAUAAAGGAAUUCGGCAAAUUAAUUUUCACCUGUUUAUUAAAAACAUGUCUUUUUGAUAAUAAUUAAAAGUCUGGCCUGCCCACUGAAAUGUUUUUGAAGGGCCGCGGUAUUUUGACCGUGCAAAGGUAGCAUAGUCAUUAGUUUCUUAAUUAGAAGCUGGAAUGAAGGGUUUGAUGAAAAAUUAACUGUCUCUAUUAAAUUUUGAUAGAAUUUUAUUUUUAAAUAAAAAAGUUUAAAUGAUAUUUAAAGACGAGAAGACCCUAUAGAGUUUAAUAUUUUUAUAUAAAAAGAUUAUUAGUAUUAAAUAUUUUUUUUUUAGAAAAAUAUUUGGUUGGGGUGAUUAAAAAAUUAAAUUAACUUUUUUUUUAUAAAAACAUUUAUUUAUGAGUAUGUGAUCCAUUAUUAAUGAUUAAAAGAAUAAAUUACCUUAGGGAUAACAGCGUAAUUUUUUUAAAAAGUUCUAAUUGAAAAAAAAGUUUGCGACCUCGAUGUUGGAUUAAAGUUUAAUUUAUGGUGCAGAAGCUAUAAAAUUAAGUCUGUUCGACUUUUAAAUCUUUACAUGAUCUGAGUUUAAACCGGUGUGAGCCAGGUUGGUUUCUAUCUUUAAUUAAUAAGUUUAUUUUUUAGUACGAAAGGACCAAAAAUAAAAAUUUAAUUUUUAUUUAUGAAUAUUAUUGUUGUUUUGGCAGAUUAGUGCAGUAAGUUUAGAACUUAUAAAUGUGAUUUAUUUUACAAACAA
rnacentral:rRNA from 1 species